rnacentral:rRNA from 1 species
AGCGGAGGAAAAGAAACUAACAAGGAUUCCCCUAGUAACGGCGAGUGAAGCGGGAUGAGCUCAAGCUUAAAAUCUCCAUACAAUUUUUGUAUGGCGAAUUGUAGUCUAUAGAAGCGUGGUCAGUGUAGGCACUUGGGGUAAGUUCCUUGGAAAAGGACAGCAUGGAGGGUGAUACUCCCGUUCAUCUCUAAGUUGCUUAUGCGUACGACCCGUUUUCUUUGAGUCGCGUUGUUUGAGUAUGCAGCGCAAAGUAGGUGGUAAAUUCCAUCUAAAGCUAAAUAUUGGUGCGAGACCGAUAGCAAACAAGUACCGUGAGGGAAAGAUGAAAAGAACUUUGAAAAUAGAGUUAAAGAGUACCUGAAACUGCUGAAAGGGAACCAAAUCGUUUCCAGUGUCUAUAAUCCGUGGUAUAUCACAUCGGCGAGUGUGUGCGUGUGUGUGCUGUUGCAGUGGCCUUUUGGCUGCGCUCGGCGUAUGUGCUGUAUAUACUUGCUGGUGCCCUGUACUGCGGUGGGACGUCAAGGUCAGUUCGUAUGCUGCGGGAAAUGACUACCAAGGAGGUAGGGCUUACGCUUGCGUUUGUCUGUUAUAUCUUGGUAGACGAGUAGUCGCGGUUGGGACUGAGGUGCCUACAACGUGCUUUUGAGUGGGCUUGGGUCUUCGUGUGCACCGUGUGCGGAUAGCUUGCUAUGCGUGUGUGGUUGUGUAUGGAUUGAUGCGAGCCUUAACUUGUAGUCGUUCGGGACGUUGACGAAAUGGAACGAUUUGACCCG